GACGGAGAUUCGAACCCGCGACCCUCAGAUUGCGAGUCGAGCAUCCUAAACACCUGGAUAUGCCGGGCCUACUUCAUUAACUGAAAAGAAUUUUAGUUGCACAAAGCUAC